AAUAGAUACCCUGGUAGUCCACGCCGUAAACGUUGGAUACUAGGUGUGGCGGUUAUACCAAUGACUGCCGUGCCGAAGCUAACGCAUUAAGUAUCCCGCCUGGGGAGUACGGCCGCAAGGCUAAAACUCAAAGGAAUUGACGGGUCCCCGCACAAGCGGCGGAGCAUGCGGCUUAAUUCGAUGCAACCCGAAGAACCUUACCUGGGUUUGACAUCACGGGAAAAGCUGUAGAAAUACAGUGUCCGUAAGGGCCCGUGACAAGUGGUGCAUGGCUGUCGUCAGCUCGUGUCGUGAGAUGUUGGGUUAAGUCCCGCAACGAGCGCAACCCUCGCUGCUAGUUGCCAGCAUUCAGUUGGGCACUCUAGCGGAACCGCCGGUGACUAAGCCGGAGGAAGGUGGGGAUGACGUCAAGUCCUCAUGGCCCUUACGGGAUGGGCUACGACACGUGCUACGAAUGGCGGUGACAGAGGGUUAAUCCGUCAAAAGCCCGUNUCGAGUUCGGGAUCGGGGUCUGCAACGUAGACCCCGGUGAACGUUGGAAUCGCUAGU
rnacentral:rRNA from 1 species